CGAGGCAGAGCGAACCCCAAAAAGCCGUCUCAGUUCGGAUCGCAGGCUGCAACCCGCCUGCGUGAAGUCGGAAUCGCUAGUAAUCGCGGAUCAGCAUGCCGCGGUGAAUACGUUCCCGGGCCUUGUACACACCGCCCGUCACACCAUGAGAGUCGGGAACACCCGAAGUCCGUAGCCUAACCGCAAGGAGGGCGCGGCCGAAGGUGGGUUCGAUAAUUGGGGUGAAGUCGUAACAAGGUACC
rnacentral:rRNA from 1 species